UUCAAAUGCAGGCAAAAGACUACAGAUCCAAAACCCAAGGCCCGGUAAUUUACAGAACCUAACCAAUUCCGACAACCUCAAGCCCAAACAAAUAAAACCAGGCCUAAACUCAGCAAACUGAAGCCCUAGGCUAAAGGAUCCAACCCAUGAAACAACAACCAAGAUGCCACAACAGCUGUAGCGCCAAACUUGCCACUUGCAGCAUCUACCUUUCCAUCUACCAUGGGCGACGUAAAUCACUGAUGAUGCACGGAAAAGGUGCUCUUGCUAUUAGGAACAAAAGCUAACAACCCAAACCGAAGCCAAGAAGAGUUCCUGUUAACAGUUGUCAAUGGGAAGAGAAGGUACGAAGCCCAAACUUAGCGGGGCCAGACAGAGUUCCUGGCCUUCUCAGUUUCUUGUUGGCGUUGAGGGACUAGAGCCAAACCGAGUGACGCCUUGAACAUCCUUGGAGGUGCCAAGCCAACAAGCAGAGAACUUCGCGAGCUAAAAAUUGCCUAAACACAAGAAAAACCACCACCUAACACGCACGCAGAGCCCAACGGCGAAAUGGUGGGGUGCUGCUCACCAGAGUCUCAAGAUUCCCUAAUUGUGAAGCCUAACCCUACAAGUCAAAACAGAGAGCAAAAGCUAUAUUAAACCAUGCUUAAAGGCUAGGGGAGUGACAGACCUACAGAAGGCAUCCACUGCUCGGAUGGAACAAUGGCUAACUGGCACAGCAAAGGAAGAGGACAGUGCCUCAAAAGAUAAUUAAACUAGAGAGGGAAUCUCUCUUUAGGGACUAGAGAGAGAGAGAGAGAUUAAUUCUGCCAAUUGGAAUUUAUACGUAGAUAUAGAGAUACAAGGGGCG
rnacentral:misc_RNA from 1 species